CACGUUAGCGCGCUUUGCUGACGUGGCAACAAAUCGCGUCCACUAGGGGGCGAUUUUUUGCCACAUCAGCAAAGCACGCUGACGUGG
rfam:Gossypium hirsutum cultivar TM-1 chromosome 24, whole genome shotgun sequence